rnacentral:rRNA from 1 species
UACGGGGGGGGCAAGCGUUGUUCGGAAUUACUGGGCGUAAAGGGCUCGUAGGUGGCCCCAUAAGUCAGACGCGAAAUCCCUCGGCUCAACCGAGGAACUGCGUCUGAGACUGCGGGGCUUGAAUCCGGGAGAGGGAUGCGGAAUUCCAGGUGUAGCGGUGAAAUGCGUAGAUAUCUGGAGGAACACCGGUGGCGAAGGCGGCAUCCUGGACCGGUAUUGACACUGAGGAGCGAAAGCCAGGGGAGCAAACGGG